rnacentral:misc_RNA from 1 species
GAUGAAGAACGUAGCGAAAUGCGAUAAGUAAUGUGAAUUGCAGAAUUCAGUGAAUCAUCGAAUCUUUGAACGCACAUUGCGCCCCCUGGUAUUCCGGGGGGCAUGCCUGUUCGAGCGUCAUUUCACCACUCAAGCCUCGCUUGGUAUUGGGCAACGCGGUCCGCCGCGUGCCUCAAAUCGACCGGCUGGGUCUUCUGUCCCCUAAGCGUUGUGGAAACUAUUCGCUAAAGGUUGCUCGGGAGGCUACGCCGUAAAACAAACCCAUUUCUAAGGUUGACCUCGGAUCAGGUAGGGAUACCCGCUGAACUUAAGCAUAUCAAUAAGCGGAGGA